rnacentral:lncRNA from 10 species
GUGGCAGAGACUUGGGGGUGGGGCGGCCAGACAGCAGCUGGGGGAGGAGAAAGGCCACAGGCCAGAAAGAGGCAAGGUCCUCCCCAUCGCCGCCCCUGGAACCUCCCACCAGCCCAGCACAGCUCUCACAGCCUCAGCGCCCCAGGUCGGGCAGUCAGAAGCAGACCAUGCCACAGAUGAACAUGGGAACAGUUAGCUGUGAAGCCUUGGGCUGUCGUCCGCCUCCAACCCCUGGGGCUCUGACCACACCCAGCCCCAGCUCAGAUCAUCUUGCUCAAAGGGCCGAAGGAGGACCCAUCUCCACACCUUCCACAUGUAGAUAUCCUCAACGUUCUUCACAGAGGGGAUGCCCGCACCCCGCCCCACCGAGUUCGCGGCUGCUGUGCCCAUCUUCCUAGAGAGGAGUUCUCCGCCACACCCGACACCACACACUUCCAACUUCUGCGGUGCUUCCCUCUCACUUAUCUCCACCCCCAAUCCUUAUCCCCGCUCGUUUAAUCACACAUUUAUUGGUCACCUACUAUGUGUCUGUCACUCUGCAGCGAGCAUUGGGGUUCCUGCCCCCAGAAACUGAUCUAUCAGGGAGGCGAACAGGGACGGGGAACUCGGAACAACG